UUCUGUGUGACUUCAUGACAUGUGUGGGUUCAUGCAACCACCAUGGCAACCAAGGCACAGCACUGUGCCAUCACCAAAGGGAAGUCACACCCACCCCCUCCUCUCCACCAUCCCUAAACCCUGGCAACCACUAAUCUGUUUUCCAUCUCUGAAGACUGGCUUUUGAGCCCACACAGCCUUUGGUAAGCACUGGCAGCCGUGGGCACACAGCAGGUUCUCACUGAGCAGUUGUGAAGGAAAGAGUGAAGCAAAGGAUUCUCUACUCUGGAUACACUUUCUCAGCCAAAUUUUAAUUCCUUUUAUGAGAGCUCCUUCAGCCUGUCUUCCUGGCUUCCUCCUUCACCUCCUCCUCCCUGCAUUUCCGAGGUCACCUAAAACCCUCUGUACGCUUUUGUGCCAUGGGGAGCCUCCUGCUGUGUUUACUGCCGGCCAUCUGCCUGGAGGGCUGCCACCUCUCCAAGCUCACAGCACAGAAAAAGUGAUGGGAGGAACUCAACAGACCCCAUGCUCUCCCGCCAGGAAAACACUGGUAGCUCAACUCAGACCUAAAUUCACGGCAGCUUCAGAGGGUGAAGGGGAAGCCUUCCCUUCUUCCCUACAAAUUCAGCUGAGCAUAAAGUUUGGAAGGCAAACACCAGGGAGUAAUUUUACAUUUAUUACUUGUCCAAGAUCUGGAAUGAAAGAACUUCUGUGUUAUUAUUAUUUACACUCUGUGAAUAACACUGAGAAGAAUUAUUGAGGUAAAGCUCAAAAGAGUUUUGAGAACCUACAAUGUGCCAAUCACAGAAGUUCCCCUGACCUUCAUCUGAUCCACAAUGCCAAGCUGUUGUGCCUGGAGACUCUAGGAGGGCAGAGUUCUUCUUGUGAUUUCUGUGUCCAUUCUACAAUCUCAGUGGCUGAUCAUGUACAGUGCAGAAAAUGUUAUACUAAGAGGAAGAAGCAUGCUGAAAAAGACUGCAAAAUCACCAGCAUCCGAAACAACCCUGUAGAUACCUUUAA